GACGAACGCUGGCGGCGUGCUUAACACAUGCAAGUCGAGCGAGCGGCGGACGGGUGAGUAAUGUAUGGGGAUCUGCCCGAUGGAGGGGGAUAACUACUGGAAACGGUGGCUAAUACCGCAUACUAUCGGAUGAACCCAUAUGGGAUUAGCUAGUGGGUGGGGUAACGGCUCACCUAGGCGACGAUCUCUAGCUGGUCUGAGAGGAUGAUCAGCCACACUGGGACUGAGACACGGCCCAGACUCCUACGGCAGGCAGCAGUGGGGAAUAUUGCACAAUGGGCGCAAGCCUGAUGCAGCCAUGCCGCGUGUAUGAAGAAGGCCUUAGGGUUGUAAAGUACUUUCAGCGGGGAGGCGUUACCCGCAGAAGAAGCACCGGCUAACUCCGUGCCAGCAGCCGCGGUAAUAC
rnacentral:rRNA from 1 species